CUCCGAGUCCCGCGGGGCCCCUCGCGCAUGCGUCCCCGCGCCUCGCGCGUUCAGAGGCCGCGACCUGGGCGGUGGCCGGCGCGUCCGCACAGCGAUGGUUUCGCAGGAAUUUGGAGACAGAAAUAGAUCACUCACUCUGAGGGAGGCCAGCUGUCACAUUGUGAGGAGUGGCCCAUGUCGUGAGGAAAUGAAACCCCUGCCAACAGCCAUUUGAGUGAGUUUAGAAGUGCAUCCUCCAGCCCCCAGUCUAGCCAUCAGAUGACUACAGCCCAGGUCACAGACCCAAAGCCAACAGCUGAGCUGCUCUCAGAUUCCUGAUCUGCAGAAACUGUGUGAGGAAGAUAAAAGAAAUGAAAAAAAGAAAAAAGGAAAAGAAAGAAAAAAAGGAAAUUGUUUGAAAAUUUGGAAAGGUGAGUACACUGAAGUAGA